UGUGACCAUUGAAGCACAGCACCACAGGGA
rnacentral:piRNA from 2 species